AGGACGAACGCUGGCGGCGUGCUUAACACAUGCAAGUCGAGCGACAGCAUCUUUCGGGGUGUAUGGAGCGGCGAACGGGUGAGUAACACGUGGGCAACCUGCCCUCAGCUCUGGGAUAACUCCGGGAAACCGGGGCUAAUACCGGAUACGACCACUCCGGGCAUCUGGUGGUGGUGGAAAGUUUUUCGGCUGAGGAUGGGCCCGCGGCCUAUCAGCUUGUUGGUGGGGUAAUGGCCUACCAAGGCGACGACGGGUAGCCGGCCUGAGAGGGCGACCGGCCACGACUGGGACUGAGACACGGCCCAGACUCCUACGGGAGGCAGCAGUGGGGAAUAUUGCGCAAUGGGCGAAAGCCUGACGCAGCGACGCCGCGUGAGGGAUGAAGGCCUUCGGUUGUAAACCGUCUUUCAGCAGGACGAAGCGAAAGUGACGUACCUGCAGAAGAAGCACGGCACACGUGCCAGCAGCGC
rnacentral:rRNA from 1 species